rnacentral:rRNA from 1 species
GACGAACGCUGGCGGCGUGCCUAACACAUGCAAGUCGAACGGAGAUAUGAUUUCGGUUGUAUCUUAGUGGCGAACGGGUGAGUAACGCGUGAGCAACCUGACUCUUAGAAGGGGAUAACACUCGGAAACGGGUGCUAAUACCGCAUAAGACCACGACAUGGCAUCAUGACGAGGUCAAAGGAGCAAUCCGCUGAGAGAGGGGCUCGCGUCCCAUUAGAUAGAUGGCGGGGUAACGGCCCACCAUGUCAGCGAUGGGUAGCCGAGCUGAGAGGCUGAUCGGCCACACUGGAACUGAGACACGGUCCAGACUCCUACGGGAGGCAGCAGUGGGGAAUAUUGGGCAAUGGGCGCAAGCCUGACCCAGCAACGCCGCGUGAGGGAAGAAGGCUUUCGGGUUGUAAACCUCUGUCCUUGGUGACGAAAAAAUGACGGUAGCCAAGGAGGAAGCCCCGGCUAACUACGUGCCAGCAGCCGCGGUAAU